rnacentral:misc_RNA from 1 species
GUUUUUUCAGGUUGUGGCCAAGCAAACUAGCUACGAACUUCAUGAACAUAUAUAGCAAGGAAUUUCAUAAAUUUUUAGCUCUCAAAACGACUAAACUAUCGGACUACAAGGCAAUCUUGGCUAGGGCUACAAGUUUAGCGGCACCUCUUCCACCAAGAUAACUCAGAGAAAUUAUUAGAAAAGGCAAGUUUAGGCAACUCAAGGGCUAACUGAUUAGACUUCCUAAAAACAUGAGAAAAGGAAAUAGACUGAAAAGAGUUAGCUAUGUUGGAGAAAGCUUAAAAGGGAUUG